UACGUAGGGGGCUAGCGUUGUCCGGAAUCAUUGGGCGUAAAGAGCGUGUAGGCGGUCUGUCGCGUCUGCUGUGAAAAUCCGGGGGCUCAACCCCGGACUUGCAGUGGGUACGGGCAGACUAGAGUGUGGUAGGGGAGACUGGAAUUCCUGGUGUAGCGGUGAAAUGCGCAGAUAUCAGGAGGAACACCGAUGGCGAAGGCAGGUCUCCUGGGCCACUACUGACGCUGAGAAGCGAAAGCAUGGGGAGCGAACAGG
rnacentral:rRNA from 1 species